rnacentral:rRNA from 1 species
UACGUAGGGGGCAAGCGUUGUCCGGAUUUAUUGGGCGUAAAGAGCGUGUAGGCGGUUUGGUAGGUCCGCUGUGAAAACUCGAGGCUCAACCUCGAGACGCCGGUGGAAACCAUCAGACUAGAGUCCGGAAGAGGAGAGCGGAAUUCCUGGUGUAGCGGUGAAAAUGCGCAGAUAUCAGGGAAGAACACCCCGUGGCGAAAGGCGGCUCUCUGGGGACGGGUAACUGACGCUGAGACGCGAAAAGCGUGGGGGAGCGAACAGG